AUGGGAAGGCUGGUGUACAUCAAUUCUGUGGUUACGGCAACCGCCACUUUCUUCUUGACGGUCUUCCCGCCUGACAAGUGGCUCACCAAAAAGGUGGACAAGCUGAGGAGAAAUUUCCUAUGGUGUGCGGAGGAUGAAUCAGUAGGGAGGAAAAGCCUUGUAAAUUGGAAACGAGUGUGUGCCCCCAAGCGUUUUGGUGGCCUAGGAGUGAAGGAUAUAGAUUGUUUCAGUAGGGCCUUGCGCAUUCGAUGGGAAUGGUUCAGGUGGGCUGAAGAGGAUAGACCAUGGAAGGGUACAGCGACUCCAUGUGAUGACACUGAUCGGCAACUCUUCUCCAGCUGCACUUGCAUCGAGUUGGGAGAUGGUAGUGUUGCAACCUUCUGGAAAGAUCGGUGGCUCAAUGGCGAGGCCCCACAGCACCUAGCACCGGAUAUCUUCAAGCUGGCUAGGUGUAAACGGCUCACGGUCAAAGAGGCUAUAAGCACUGGGCGAUGGAUGCAAGGUAUACAGCGAAUGGACAGCCACGAGCAGCUAUGUCAAUUUGUUGGCCUGUGGGAAAAAUUGCAGCCGGUGAACUUGUCAACUCAAAGGGACAAAAUCAACUGGAAUAUCUCUGCCAAUGGAAUAUACUCAGCGAGUUCUGCUUAUGGGGUCCAAUUCUCUGCCAGGAUUGAGCAGCCUGAGAUUGCCCGGGUGUGGAGAAGCAAGCUACUAGAAGGGAAGGUGAAAUUCUACAUGUGGCUUCUGCUGCAGAACAGAAACUGGACUGCCGACCGGCUACAGGCGAGAGGAUGGCCACAUAACGCCUCUUGCAAAUUUUGUGACCAGGAGCAGGAGACCGCGAUGCAUCUCACGCUUCACUGCUGUUAUGCGAGAGAGGUCUGGCAUCUCUCCCUUGGUGCCAACAGCAGGAUGUACAAUGGUGUGUCUUCGGCAAGUUCAGUUUCAGAUUGGUGGAAGAUGCUUUGUACGCAAAGAGGAGCACCAGCAAGGACGGAGGAAGAGAUAACUCUGUCGGCGUACAUCGCCUGGCAUCUAUGGAAGGAGAGAAACCGUCGAGUUUUUGAGGAUAAGGACCUGACACCGAGGGCGUUGGUAAACAUGAUUCGUGAUGACGUUACAUUGCUCAGUGAGGCUUUGAGACCUACCCAUGCGGCAGAGGGGUAG
rnacentral:rRNA from 1 species